UACGUAGGGUGCAAGCGUUGCCCGGAUUUAUUGGGCGUAAAGGGCGCGUAGGCGGCUCGUGCACGUCCGUUGUGAAAUCGCCCGGCUCGAACUGGGCGGGGUCAGCGGAUACGGCGGAGCUUGAGCAAGCUAGGGGGGCAAUGGGAAUUCCCGGUGUGAGUGGUGGAAUGCGUAGAUAUCGGGAGGACACCAGUGGCGAAGGCG
rnacentral:rRNA from 1 species